rnacentral:rRNA from 1 species
AGUAGUUUGAUCCUGGCUCAGGACACGCUGGCGGCGUGCUUAACACAUGCAAGUCGAACGGAAAGGCCCUGCUUGCAGGGUACUCGAGUGGCGAACGGGUGAGUAACACGUGGGUGAUCUGCCCUGCACUUCGGGAUAAGCCUGGGAAACUGGGUCUAAUACCGGAUAGGAGCCAUUUUUAGUGUGAUGGUUGGAAAGUUUUUUCGGUGUAGGAUGAGCUCGCGGCCUAUCAGCUUGUUGGUGGGGUAAUGGCCUACCAAGGCGGCGACGGGUAGCCGGCCUGAGAGGGUGGACGGCCACAUUGGGACUGAGAUACGGCCCAGACUCCUACGGGAGGCAGCAGUGGGGAAUAUUGCACAAUGGGCGCAAGCCUGAUGCAGCGACGCCGCGGUGGGGGAUGACGGCCUUCGGGUUGUAAACUCCUUUCGCUAGGGACGAAGCUUUUUGUGACGGUACCUAGAUAAGAAGCACCGGCUAACUACGUG